rnacentral:tRNA from 1 species
GGGCCCGUAGCUCAGCGGAAGAGCGGUCGCCUAAACGCGAACGUCAGCGCCGGUUCGAACCCGGCCGGGUCCACCA